rnacentral:misc_RNA from 1 species
GAUGAAGAACGCAGCGAAAUGCGAUACGUAAUGUGAAUUGCAGAAUUCAGUGAAUCAUCGAGUCUUUGAACGCACAUUGCGCCCCCUGGUAUUCCGGGGGGCAUGCCUGUUCGAGCGUCAUUACAACCCUCAAGCUCUGCUUGGUAUUGGGCCCCGCCAGUUCUGGCGGGCCCUAAAGUCAGUGGCGGUGCCUUCCGGCUCCGAGCGUAGUAAUUCUUCUCGCUCUGGAGACCCGGUUGUGUGCUUGCCAACAACCCCCAAUUUUUUAAGGUUGACCUCGGAUCAGGUAGGGAUACCCGCUGAACUUAAGCAUAUCAAUAAGCGGAGGA